rnacentral:rRNA from 1 species
CCUACGGGGGGCAGCAGUGAGGAAUAUUGGACAAUGGGCGCAAGCCUGAUCCAGCCAUGCCGCGUGCAGGAUGACGGUCCUAUGGAUUGUAAACUGCUUUUGUACAGGAAGAAACACUGGUUCGUGAACCAGCUUGACGGUACUGUAAGAAUAAGGAUCGGCUAACUCCGUGCCAGCAGCCGCGGUAAUACGGAGGAUCCAAGCGUUAUCCGGAAUCAUUGGGUUUAAAGGGUCCGUAGGCGGUUUAGUAAGUCAGUGGUGAAAGCCCAUCGCUCAACGGUGGAACGGCCAUUGAUACUGCUAGACUUGAAUUAUUAGGAAGUAACUAGAAUAUGUAGUGUAGCGGUGAAAUGCUUAGAGAUUACAUGGAAUACCAAUUGCGAAGGCAGGUUACUACUAAUGGAUUGACGCUGAUGGACGAAAGCGUGGGUAGCGAACAGGAUUAGAUACCCUGGUAGUC